AACGAACGCUGGCGGCAUGCCUAACACAUGCAAGUCGAACGAGACCUUCGGGUCUAGUGGCGCACGGGUGCGUAACGCGUGGGAAUCUGCCCUUCGGUUGGGAAUAACUGAGAGAAAUUUCAGCUAAUACCUUAUAAUGUCUUCGGACCAAAGAUUUAUCGCCGAGGGAUGAGCCCGCGUAGGAUUAGGUAGUUGGUGGGGUAAUGGCCUACCAAGCCGACGAUCCUUAGCUGGUCUGAGAGGAUGAUCAGCCACACUGGGACUGAGACACGGCCCAGACUCCUACGGGAGGCAGCAGUGGGGAAUAUUGGACAAUGGCCGAAAGCCUGAUCCAGCAAUGCCGCGUGAGUGAUGAAGGCCUAGGGUUGUAAAGCUCUUUUACCCGGGAUGAUAAUGACAGUACCGGGAGAAUAAGCUCCGGCUAACUCCGUG
rnacentral:rRNA from 1 species